UGGGUAAUAUUGCACAAUGGGCGCAAGCCUGAUGCAGCCAUGCCGCGUGUAUGAAGAAGGCCUUCGGGUUGUAAAGUACUUUCAGCGGGGAGGAAGGGAGUAAAGUUAAUACCUUUGCUCAUCGACGUUACCCGCAGAAGAAGCACCGGCUAACUCCGUGCCAGCAGCCGCGGUAAUAUGGAGGGUUCAAGCGUUAAUCGGCAUUACUGGGCGUAAAGCGCACGCAGGCGGUUUGUUAAGUCAGAUGUGAAAUCCCCGGGCUCAACCUGGGAGCUGCAUCUGAUACUGGCAAGCUAAAGUCUCGUAGAGGGGGAUAGAAUUCCAGGUGUAGCGGUGAAAUGCGUAGGAAUCUGGAGGAAUACCGGUGGCGAAGGCGGCCCCCUGGACGAAGACUGACGCUCAGGUGCGAAAGCGUGGGGAGCAAACAGG
rnacentral:rRNA from 1 species